GACGAACGCUGGCGGCGUGCUUAACACAUGCAAGUCGAACGAAGAGCGAUGGAAGCUUGCUUCUAUCAAUCUUAGUGGCGAACGGGUGAGUAACGCGUAAUCAACCUGCCCUUCAGAGGGGGACAACAGUUGGAAACGACUGCUAAUACCGCAUACGAUCUAACCUUGGCAUCGAGGAUGGAUGAAAGGUGGCCUCUAUUUAUAAGCUAUCACUGAAGGAGGGGAUUGCGUCUGAUUAGCUAGUUGGAGGGGUAACGGCCCACCAAGGCGAUGAUCAGUAGCCGGUCUGAGAGGAUGAACGGCCACAUUGGGACUGAGACACGGCCCAGACUCCUACGGGAGGCAGCAGUGGGGAAUCUUCCGCAAUGGACGAAAGUCUGACGGAGCAACGCCGCGUGAGUGAUGACGGCCUUCGGGUUGUAAAGCUCUGUUAAUCGGGACGAAAGGCCUUCUUGCGAAUAGUGAGAAGGAUUGACGGUACCGGAAUAGAAAGCCACGGCUAACUAC
rnacentral:rRNA from 1 species